rnacentral:misc_RNA from 1 species
UACCUUCCUCCAGCCUCAAGCUCGUAUAAAUAAACUCCUCCUCGUUUCUCUACUUAUCCCAUUGGCUCUCUGUCCACGCUCUCAAGAAUCCUCUGGUAUGUUCUUGAGUAACCGUUUUGUAAUUUCACUCUUCUCUAUCAUCGAUGCUUUCUUGUCGAUUCGAUUGCCGUUUUUAACCCGUCUUAUAUGUUUUCUUUGCUGGUUUUGGUUGUGGUUUUAAUUGGAAAAGAAAAACAAAAGGAGGUCUGUUUUCUUUUUCUGUAACCCUUAAUUUGUAGUUCCUGGGUAAUAAUCGUGUUUUAUCUAUCUCAAAUUUUAUUGGGUUCUUAUCAAUUUGGCGGUUACAGUGCUUUUAAUGGAAGUUUAUUGAUGUUUUAUCAAUGAAAUCGUUUAUUUCCCCCUGUUUGUGUAAUCUUACUGUAUCUGGUUUUAAUUAACUUGAUUUGGAUGUUGAUUGAUUUCGAUAUUUGUUUAAUUGUUGGCUUUGUCUAAUAACCAUAAUGAUCAGCUGCGUUGGUUUAUUUGAUCAAAAAUUUAAUUAUUUCCAUUUUUUGGAGAUUUAAUUGUACUAGGUAAAAUAGUGAUGAUCAUCUGUGUGAUUACAAGGAAAAAAAUUCUUGCCUGGGCCUGUUUUAUGUAGACUCAAAGGCUAUCAGGAGAAUACUGUAUGUGGAACAUACUAAUUUUGCAUGUAAAAAGUAAAAACCAUCUACUGGGUCUACGCAAGAAUGACUAUUGGCAAAAUUGCAAAGUUUUAGCUGUCAAUUGCAUUGCUUUGGCACACAUUGCUCUGCUAGGAAUAGAAUAGAUUUUUAAAGUCAUAGAAUGUCUAUAUAUUUUUUUUUAUUGGAGAAUUUAAUUAAUUCUAGAAUUUGUGGAAUGUCUAUUCUAAAAAGAAUAACUACUAUACAUACACAGUAUUUGAUUCUAGGAAUAGAAUGUUUAGUCUGCGUUUAGAUUUUUCAUUUUUCUUUUAAUAAAAGUUAAGUAGAUCUAUUCUAUAUAAAAUAGUUAUUUUAUUUUCAAACGACUCUUUGAUUCAAGCAAAGAUUAGAUUAAUCUAUGCCUUAUUGUAGUUGCUUUUUAUCCACACGCAUUUUAUACGAACUUGCUCACUUCCUUGUUUCAUAUUUCAUAUGAUAGUGCAGGGUGUCAUAUACUUUAAAAAAUAGAGGGAGAAUUGUUGUUUUCUGAAAAUGCAAAAGCACAGAAGCAUCGGUUCAAAGUCUUUUAGACAAAGUUCUGAGAAAACUGAACUGUACAGACCCAAAACACCAAUGGGAUCAGCUGAGGAUGCACCCAAAACCCCAUUGGAAUCAGCUGAGGAGGUCAAGCAAUGGGAGGAAGCUAGGUGUCCGAUCUGCAUGGAGCACCCUCAUAAUGCUGUUCUUUUACAAUGUUCUUCUUACGAUAAAGGUUGUCAUCCUUAUAUGUGCAACACGAGCUACCGCCAUUCAAAUUGCCUUGAUCAAUUCUGCAAGUCAUCUGUGUCAUCCCCUUCGACAUUAACAAUACAAGGAAUCCCCAGUGCUAGAUCAAACUUGAAUAGAACUGGGCAAACCAAUAUUUAUGGGAGGGAGUCGGAGCAUAAACUUAGUUGCCCUUUGUGUCGUGGAGAAAUCCAUGGAUGGUUUGUGAUAGAGCCUGCUAGAAAAUUCAUGAAUUCCAAAGCAAGGAUUUGUUCUAAUGCAACUUGUGAUUUUAGUGGGAAUUAUUUAGAACUUAGGAAGCAUGCAAGGUCGAAUCACCCUUCUGUCCGGCCAUCAGAGGUGGAUCCAGAACGGCAGCAUGAUUGGAGAAGGAUGGAACGUGAAAGUGACCUUUCAGACAUAGUUAGUUUGAUCCUUGCUGGAGGAGUAGAAGAAGAAGGUGACCAGACAAGGCUGGAACAUGACAGUGAUUUUUCAGACAUGGUUAGUAUGUUCCAGGCAACAAAUGGGGGAGAAGAAGAGGUAGAAGAAGUGGAGAUAGAACCUGAAUCCAAUUCUCAUGCACUUGCUCUUCAAUCUUUACAUAAUUCAAUCGUCUCAGUCAUGGAAAUCGUCGGAGUCGCUAUGGUGUCUAUGUCAGGGAUGGGCAAUGAAAUUGAGAAUAAUCACAUAAAUAGACAAAAUAACUUCUUUAGACAGAAUAACGAUUCCAGACAGGACAACUUUAGACAGAGCAAUAGUUCUAUGCAGAGCACCACUACCACCGGACAGAUAAGUAACGGUUUCAGAAGCAACCUUUAUGGGAGUAACUAUAGAGAGAACAGUUAUAAUAACAGUCUCAACUCUAGACAGAACAACAGUUUUAGGGGCAAUAAUAUCACAGAGAGAAUGCACCAGAGCCGGGUCAACAAUAUUAGAAGAAGAUGGGAUCAGCAGAGGUACAAUGUUAGGAGAAACAGAUGGAAUCAACAGCGUUGGACAGAACAAUAAUAUGAUGACAUCUUAAACGCCUGAGACUUUCUGUUUGAGUUUAUUGUUAUUAUUUUGUAAUUGAAUGCCUAAAUGCAAGAAAAACAAAUUAUGAUUAAAUGUUUUAGCAAUUCUUAUGAUUUUGAAAAAUAAUCUUUGGAUUUAUUUGUAAAGAAGUAGCUGUUUUCAAGAAAAAAAAUUUCAUGAGAACUAUU